rnacentral:rRNA from 1 species
GUGCCAGCCGCCGCGGUAACACGGGGGGAGCAAGCGUUGUUCGGAAUUACUGGGCGUAAAGGGCGUGUAGGCGGUUCGGUAAGUGGGAUGUGAAAUGCCCCGGCUCACCCGGGGACCGGCAUCCCAAACUGCCGAGCUUGAGUAUGGGAGAGGAUGAGGGAAUUCCUGGUGUAGCGGUGAAAUGCGUAGAUAUCAGGAGGAACACCGGUGGCGAAGGCGCUCAUCUGGCCCAAUACUGACGCUGAGGCGCGAAAGCUAGGGGAGCAAACGGGAUUAGAAACCCUAGUAGUCC